rnacentral:Y_RNA from 1 species
GGCUGGUCCGAUGGCAGUGAGUUAUCAGAACUUAUUAACAUUAGUGUCACUUAAGUCGGUGCACAACCCCCCACCACUAAAUUUGACUGGCUUUAA